rnacentral:sRNA from 1 species
AUAAGCUAACAACAAGCAAAAUUUUUUCAUUCUUACUCCCUUUAGAAUGAAAAUCCCAAACUCCCUUUUUUGACCAAUGCGGUUUACUCCCUUUUUCCGCAUUGGUUUUUUA